AUACGUAGGGAGUGAGCGUUACCCGGAAUUACUGGGCGUAAAGUGCGCGUAGGCGGUUCGAUAAGUCUGAUGUGAAAGCCCUGGGCUUAACCUGGGAAUGGCAUUGGAUACUGUUGAACUAGAGUGCGGGAGAGGAGAGUGGAAUUCUCGGUGUAGCGGUGAAAUGCGUAGAUAUCGGGAGGAACACCAGUGGCGAAGGCGGCUCUCUGGACUGACACUGACGCUGAGGUGCGAAAGCGCGGGUAGCAAACAGGAUUAGAAACCCCAGUAGUCC
rnacentral:rRNA from 1 species